rnacentral:rRNA from 1 species
CGGGUGCGUAACACGUAAGCAACCUGCCUCAAAGACCGGGACAACAUUCCGAAAGGGGUGCUAAUACCGGAUGUGGCCAUCGGGGGGCAUCCCUUGGUGAUUAAACCGGGCUAGCAAUAGUCCGGCUUUGAGAGGGGCUUGCGGCCUAUCAGCUAGUUGGUGGGGUAACGGCCUACCAAGGCGACGACGGGUAGCUGGUCUGAGAGGACGAUCAGCCGGACUGGGACUGAGAUACGGCCCAG